rnacentral:lncRNA from 10 species
GGAGAGGGCUUAACGGAGACAAGUGAAGAGAACUGACUUACACCUUAAAGAACUGCUGUUUGCUCUGUAAAGGUUGCCCUUCAUCACUCAGCAGUGAAGAAUGAAAAUCAACAGAGCUUUCCCCAGCCUGCUGCUUAAGCAGCUGCUAGCAGGCUGAGGCUGCCCAGCCUCAUUAACCCAUUAGAUGCUGCGUUCGCCCGGGAGUCAUUCUUAAUGAGGCUGCUGCAGAUGAGAAAACAGAAGCAAAGGCAGAAAGAUGCUACAUUGCCAGCUUUGAAGAUGGAGG